GCCCCAAAAGCAUGAACCUCUCAUGGUUCAUGAGGGCUGCAGUUGAAGCAGGGACUCGACAGUGCUGAGUGUGCUGAAGCUGUGGUUCUGGGAAUCGAGCCGUAAAUUUUUGAAGAUCACUGGUUGCUUUGGCAUAGUGCCGUCGAUAUGGAGAAAUUGAUCGGCAGCUGUUUUCUUCAUUAGUGAGAACUUGUAACCUGAGAGUGAUUAGCUUUCGGGACGAAGAAGAGGACAGCUCUGUUUUCUAAAAAUUUAACGAAGAAUUGUCUUCUUCGAUUUUUGCUGCGCGUAGGGGAGAUGGGUCUCCGCCACUCCCUUGUAGAGCUCGAGCUGGAAAGCCUGAAAACUGCUUGUGGGUGUACAAUGACACAGACCUAACGACUCAAGUUCUGAAGGAGCUUGUACAGAGUUACAAAAGCGUCUACCGCAACACCAUUAGCAAAGAUUUUCCUGCUGGUAUAGUUUGUCUUUCUUGUGUUUUAGUAAGUUGGGUUCAAUUAAACGCCAAACAAGAGACGAGAGAACGGGUGGAGGUUAGUGUUACAAUGGCAGAAAAAUUGUGCAUCUCUUGAAUGGUUUCUUGCAUCUUAGAAGGGAUCCAUGUUUUUGGACAGAUCUCUUGAGCAGUUGUGACUAGCUGUAAAUGCUGUCUACGAAUAAUGGAAUAGUUCACGAGCGGUGAAAUACCGACUCAUCUACCAGAUCACCGGCCUCAACGGCACAUCUGUCAAUGUGCUGGCAAUGGUGUUCGGGAGCAUGAGAGCUUCCUCUAGUAUUGGUGUGUUCUUCACUCGCAAUCCGAGCACCGGGGAGAAGAAACCAUAUGGAGAGUAUCUCAUCAGCGAAUAGGUUGGAUUCGUGCUCAAGCUUGGCUGUGCCUAUUAUUUGAUACGCAAUUUCUAACAGCUCAGAUGGCGUGGAUCAUAGACUGGUAUGCUUUUGAUUAUCACCAACACGUCUCGAUUCACCUGGAUCACUUCCUCAACAACUGCAGAUUGUUUGCUCAAUGUGGCCUUACGGAACAAUUCUGAGUGAUUCGAGUUAGAUCCAUUGUAAUGCGUAUGCCGGGUGAAGAUGUAGUAGCAGGCAUUCGGACUCCCGAAGACAUCGACACUGUGAAAUAUGUACCUCUACAUACCUACAAGGAACUUCGUGAGAAUUGUGAUAUAUUGGAGGCUCACUACAAGGAGAUGAUGGUACUUCCUCUGUGCCUUACUCCUGUGCAAUGCAUGAUGUGUCUGUUGGAUAUUACUCCUCAGUUAACAGUAAUACCUAGAUUCAUCAUUCAUCACAUAUGGACCCCACAUCUCAUUGCGGGCCAUCCUCUGUAAUCUCAUUAUAUAUUGAGAUUCUUCUUGUUCUUCACAGUUAAGUAAUACAGUUAUAUUCUUGUUCUCAUUC